rnacentral:rRNA from 1 species
UUCCUACGGGUGGCUGCAGUAGGGAAUAUUGGUAAUGGGCGAAAGCCUGAACCAGCAACGCCGCGUGUGCGAAGAAGGCCUUCGGGUUGUAAAGCACUUUUUAAGGGGAUGAGGAAGGACAGUACCCUUAGAAUAAGCCUCGGCUAACUACGUGCCAGCAGCCGCGGUAACACGUAGGAGGCAAGCGUUAUUCGGAUUUACUGGGCGUAAAGCGCGUGCAGGCGGUUUGGUAAGUUGGAUGUGAAAGCUCCCGGCCUAACUGGGAGAGGUCGUUCAAUACUACCAGACUAGAGGAUGGGAGAGGGAGGUGGAAUUCCGGGUGUAGUGGUGAAAUGCGUAGAUAUCCGGAGGAACACCAGUGGCGAAAGCGGCCUCCUGGCCCAUUUCUGACGCUCAGACGCGAAAGCUAGGGUAGCAAACGGGAUUAGAUACCCCUGUAGUC